ACAAGCGGUGGAGCAUGUGGUUUAAUUCGACGCAACGCGAAGAACCUUACCAGGGCUUGACAUCCCUGACCGCGUAUGAAAGUACGUUUUACCUCGGGUGACAGGGAGACAGGUGGUGCAUGGUUGUCGUCAGCUCGUGUCGUGAGAUGUUGGGUUAAGUCCCGCAACGAGCGCAACCCUCGACCUUAGUUGCCAGCAUUCAGUUGGGCACUCUAAGGUGACUGCCGGCUAAAAGUCGGAGGAAGGUGGGGAUGACGUCAAAUCAUCAUGCCCCUUAUGACCUGGGCUACACACGUGCUACAAUGGGCGGUACAAAGGGUCGCGAACCCGCGAGGGGGAGCCAAUCCCAAAAAGCCGCUCUCAGUUCGGAUUGCAGGCUGCAACUCGCCUGCAUGAAGCCGGAAUCGCUAGUAAUCGCGGAUCAGCAUGCCGCGGUGAAUACGUUCCCGGGCCUU
rnacentral:rRNA from 1 species